CAGUGUUGUUCACUGAAUGCCAGUAAUAACUCUUUCUAUCUGAACCCCCCUGUGAACCUUCCAGUGCAUAAUGUUAUUGUACAAGACAUCUUUUAGGCAUUUUUUCAAGCCAAGCAUCACACAGAGGAGCAUUUCUUCAUUGGAGAUUGGCAACAGGAAUGCAAGUUUUGGCUGCUUCCCCACUUUCUGCUGGGCUUUACACUGGUGUGAAGUUCCU